rnacentral:rRNA from 1 species
GACGAACGCUGGCGGCGUGCUUAACACAUGCAAGUCGAACGGAAAGGCCCUGCUUUUGUGGGGUGCUCGAGUGGCGAACGGGUGAGUAACACGUGAGUAACCUGCCCUUGACUUUGGGAUCACUUCAGGAAACUGGGGCUAAUACCGGAUAGGAGCUCCUGCUGCAUGGUGGGGGUUGGAAAGUUUCGGCGGUUGGGGAUGGACUCGCGGCUUAUCAGCUUGUUGGUGGGGUAGUGGCUUACCAAGGCUUUGACGGGUAGCCGGCCUGAGAGGGUGACCGGCCACAUUGGGACUGAGAUACGGCCCAGAAUCCUACGGGGGGCAGCAGUGGGGAAUAUUGCACAAUGGGCGGAAGCCUGAUGCAGCAACGCCGCGUGCGGGAUGACGGCCUUCGGGUUGUAAACCUCUUUCGCCUGUGACGAAGCGUGAGUGACGGUAAUGGGUAAAGAAGCACCGGCUAACUACGUG